rnacentral:rRNA from 1 species
UACGUAGGGGGCAAGCGUUGUCCGGAAUUAUUGGGCCUAAAGCAUCCGUAGCCGGCCUUACAAGUCCUCCGUUAAAUCCAGCUGCUUAACAGAUGGGCUGCGGAGGAUACUAUAAGACUAGGAGGCAGGAGAGGCAAGCGGUACUCAGUGGGUAGGGGUAAAAUCCGUUGAUCCAUUGAAGACCACCAGUGGCGAAGGCGGCUUGCCAGAAUGCGCUCGACGGUGAGGAUGAAAGCUGGGGGAGCAACCGG